rnacentral:rRNA from 1 species
GAUGAACGCUGGCGGCGUGCCUAAUACAUGCAAGUCGAGCGAACAGACGAGGAGCUUGCUCCUCUGACGUUAGCGGCGGACGGGUGAGUAACACGUGGAUAACCUACCUAUAAGACUGGGAUAACUUCGGGAAACCGGAGCUAAUACCGGAUAAUAUAUUGAACCGCAUGGUUCACUAGUUAAAGACGGUUUUGCUGUCACUUAUAGAUGGAUCCGCGCCGCAUUAGCUAGUUGGUAAGGUAACGGCUUACCAAGGCAACGAUGCGUAGCCGACCCGAGAGGGAGAUCCGCCAGAUGGGAAGUGAGACACGGUCCAGACACCUACGGGAAGCAGCAGUAGGGAAUCUUCCGCAAUGGAGGAAAGCGUGACGGAGCAACGCCGCGUGAGGGAUGAAGGUCUUCGGAUCGUAAAACUCUGUUAUUAGGGAAGAACAAAUGUGUAAGUAACUAUGCACGUCUUGACGGUACCGAAUCAAAAAGCCACGGCUAACUACGUG